rnacentral:rRNA from 1 species
UUAAAGUUGUUGCAGUUAAAAAGCUCGUAGUUGAACCUUGGGCCUGGCUGGCCGGUCCGCCUCACCGCGUGCACUGGUCCGGCCGGGCCUUUCCUCCUGGGGAGCCGCAUGCCCUUCACUGGGUGUGUCGGGGAGCCAGGACUUUUACUUUGAAAAAAUUAGAGUGUUCAAAGCAGGCCUAUGCUCGAAUACAUUAGCAUGGAAUAAUA